UACGUAGGGGGGCGAGCGUUUGUCCGGAUUUAUUGGGCGUAAAGAGCUCGUAGGCGGCUUAGCAAGUCGGGUGUGAAAACUCCAGGCUCAACCUGGAGACGCCACUCGAGACUGCUAUGGCUAGAGUCCGGUAGGGGACCACGGAAUUCCUGGUGUAGCGGUGAAAUGCGCAGAUAUCAGGAGGAACACCGGUGGCGAAGGCGGUGGUCUGGGCCGGCACUGACGCUGAGGAGCGAAAGCGUGGGGAGCAAACAGG
rnacentral:rRNA from 1 species